CCCUCGCUGUCGGUUACCGUGGGGGAUGGUAGCUCUCUUCAGCGCUCGUUUAGCUCAUUUUGACCUUCGUGAAAGUCUUAAUUUUACAGAUAUCGUGAUCCAGAGAGAGAAUAAAAUGUUCUCUUUGUGUUCCGUCGGUGCUGAAGCGGUCGAGGAUGAAGGUCUGCUGGGAGACACAAACAGAACCAGGAUAUAUUCUUUUUUUUUAGACCUCAACGGACACAUUUGGACCAUGAGUCGUUUAAAACUGGAGAGAUUUUUUAGGCCAACCAUAGGAUAAAGACCUACUUCUUUACAGCUUUCUGAGCGGCUUUAUUUGCCCCAGAGGCCUGUAAGGACAUGGAGCAAGGGGACAAACAUGCAGGUUGUUGCCUUUGUAGCUGGUUUGGUGCUGAUGCUGACCCCAUCAUGCUGUGCAGAGAACGCAAACUUCACCUGCUACAGCCUAACAUCCCCAGAGGCUGAAAACAUUCAAAAGGUGUACGACGACAAUCAAAAGUCAGGAGUGUUCUGGUCCCAAAGCGCUUCAGGCUUGGAUCCCUGUGACUUCUCCUCCAUCUACUCCACCCCCCAAUGCUCCGUGUGCAACGACUCAGGGACCAUCAUUGUUGUUUUAUACAACCUGACGAUCAACAUGAAGCUAACGGUGGAGGGUCCAGAGCGCCCCAUCAGCUACAACAAGAUCGGUAAGAAGCUCCACACACAUUUGUAGAUUUAAAAACAUUUGUGGACCUGAAACGUUCCAGAUAAACUAACCAGGGUUCCUCCAUCUCAGGAACAGUCCCAGAUACCUGCUUUACUCCUGGUGUCAUGGCCAACACUGCCAACAUGAGGCUCAUAACGUUGUUUUUCUGGUAAAAACAACUAUCUCAGUCUCCCUUCCCACAACUUUUCACAUUAUUUUAAAGUCAGCCUGCAGCCAACCAGCUGCUCAGGUUGACCACUGAAGAAAAUAUUCAGCAAUAUGAUCAGAAAGUAGGAUUAGCACGAUGCUAACAUUUCAAACUCGAUACCGAUUCUAAAAACAUUCUCAAUACUUGAUACCAUUUUUGAUACAGUGGCAAAUAAUUUGACUGCAAAGGUUAAUUUCUGGUUGGGAGCAAAAAAAGUAAUUUAGAAAAUGACAGACAGCCUUCCUGUGCAGGAACAGCCUCAGCUUUUUUGUCCAGAUAAAACAGCACAAGCGUUGCAGUUAAAUGCAGACCCCUUUAAAUGGGACAACAGCGCCAUCUACUGUCUGGUCUAGACCUGCAGGCAGUAGAGAUUGAAGAGCAUCAGCUUUACUGUAUCUAGGUAAUUAAGCCAUGAAUGUCUGUGGAUGAAUAAUAAAGAUAAGCUCCUGAAAGAGUAUAAAACUUUAUGUAUCUGUAGUUUAUCUUUAGUAUUAAUGGCUGAAUUGUUUUGCCAUAUUUUUAAUUAGUCUAUUUUAGGUUUAUUUUAUUGAUGGUGAUUUUCAUGGAUAGAUAAAAGUAAUGUGCUGAAAAGAUAAAAAUAAAAAUUGACCAUUUAUAUUGGCCUGAGUUCUGAAUCGAUUAAUUACGAUUUGAUCUGAUCUUAAAUUGUGAAAAUGGGUAAAUAUUUUUUUUCUCUUCACCGUAUGUAACAAAGCGCUGACGUAAAUUGUCGACAUUAAGCUUGAGCUGUAAACAGCUUCCUCGAGUCUCAAAGGUACAAACUUAAAACAAGUAAAAUAUAUUUUGCGGAGGUAAAAUGCAGCAUUCAAUCACUGUUAAUAGCAUAAAAACAUUUAAGUGGAACCAUAACAAUAUUCAGAGUAAAAUUGAACUGUCAAGUCUAAGUAUUGUGACUUUGUUGACAUGAUCUGGGUUCAGGCAGCGACAAAGAAAAACUUCUGCGAUGCAUUUCUGGUCCCUGGGACACAGAUGAAUCAGGCUCCAUUCCCCUGUACCACGUCUUGUUUCAGACAUUAAUGCUUUAAAGAAAUCUACAAGAAAUGGUAAACAAAUAUAACUACAUUUUCUUUGAUAUUUUUAGGGCUAAAAUAACCCACUGGGAUAAAUAUCUGGAUCACACAUCAGUGCACCUCAUACAGCGCGUCUGCAUAGAGAACUCAGAAGUGUUUAUUAACUAUUAAUAGGGCUGGGCAAGUUAACGCGUUAAUUUCGCGUUAAUUCAUUAGACUAUUAACGGCGAUAUUU